rnacentral:rRNA from 1 species
UGGGGAAUAUUGGACAAUGGGCGCAAGCCUGAUCCAGCCAUGCCGCGUGAGUGAUGAAGGCCCUAGGGUUGUAAAGCUCUUUCACCGGUGAAGAUAAUGACGGUAACCGGAGAAGAAGCCCCGGCUAACUUCGUGCCAGCAGCCGCGGUAAUACGAAGGGGGCUAGCGUUGUUCGGAAUUACUGGGCGUAAAGCGCACGUAGGCGGACAUUUAAGUCAGGGGUGAAAUCCCAGGGCUCAACCCCGGAACUGCCUUUGAUACUGGGUGUCUAGAGUUCGAGAGAGGUGAGUGGAAUUCCGAGUGUAGAGGUGAAAUUCGUAGAUAUUCGGAGGAACACCAGUGGCGAAGGCGGCUCACUGGCUCGAUACUGACGCUGAGGUGCGAAAGCGUGGGGAGCAAAACAGGAUUAGAUACCCUGGUAGUCCACGCCGUAAACGAUGGAAGCCAGCUGUCGGCAAGUUUACUUGUCGGUGGCGCAGCUAACGCAUUAAGCUUCCCGCCUGGGGAGUACGGUCGCAAGAUUAAAACUCAAAUGAAUUGACGGGGUCAUAGCUGUUUCCUG